UACAGAGGGUGCAAGCGUUAAUCGGAGUUACUGGGCGUAAAGGGCGCGUAGGCUGGUAUUUAAGUCGAUUGUGAAAUCCCCGGGCUUAACCUGGGAAUUGCAUUUGAUACUGAAUAUCUUGAGUAUGGUAGAGGAAAGUGGAAUUCCCGGUGUAGUGGUCAAAUACGUAGAUAUCGGGAAGAACACCGGUGGCGAAGGCGGCUUUCUGGACCAAUACUGACGCUGAGGCGCGAAAGCGUGGGGAGCAAACAGG
rnacentral:rRNA from 1 species